UACAGAGGGUGCGAGCGUUAAUCGGAAUUACUGGGCGUAAAGGGUGCGCAGGCGGCGUCGCAAGUCAGGCGUGAAAUCCCCCGGGCUUAACCUGGGAACUGCACUUGAAACUACGAUGCUGGAGUAUGGCAGAGGGAGGUGGAAUUCCACGUGUAGCGGUGAAAUGCGUAGAGAUGUGGAGGAACACCGAUGGCGAAGGCA
rnacentral:rRNA from 1 species